GGAAGAAACUAGAAAGAAACGCGAGAGAGAGAGAGAGAGAGACAGAGAGAGAGGGGGAAGGAAAUGGAGAGAAGAGAAAGUCCAGAGACAAGAAGAGAGGAAAUCGAUCACGGAAGAGACUGUCUUCCGUCGUCUACGCCGGUCGUCGGCCGGCGGCCAUAAGAAAGUCCGUCGUCCCUAAUCAUCCGUUUUAGAAGAAGAUCGAGAGAAAGGAGAAAAACCAACGCUUUGCCCGGCCUUCGUUCUGCUCUGCUCUGCUCUGCCCACCGGACCCCUGAUAUCAACUAUGUCGAUGCAUUGUUAUUUCACUUGCCAUCCAUUGCUGUUUGAACCUUGCCGAGCUUAAUAUUUUAUUUCCUUCCUAUGUGAGGACUUUGAGCCUAGAGCAUUCGAUAUUUAUAUAUAUAUUUUUUUCAUGUGUGAUGUUAGAUCUAAAUUGGCAUUCUAGAACUUGCCUCGAAAUGCAUGUUGAACACACAUGAGGACCUGAUAUAAGUAAGAUGACGGGGGCAUUAGGUAUACCUACUUGGCUUAAAUUAUCCUACCCAAAAAUUUUAUCCACUAGUUAACACCGUUGAGCCUUUUGAAAACCUUUUCAUUCUUCAAUCAAUCAUUAAUCCUUUAGCCAUAUACCAUUUUUUGGAUUUAUACCUUAUAUUGAUCCUUGUGUCGAAGGAAGAGUGGAAGUUUUAUGGCUAUCAUUUAUAUUCUUCUUGUAUAAAGUGUAGAAAGGGAAAGUAUAGUGUUGUUGAUGUUUACAAAAAGGAAAAUAAAACAAAGGGGCUAAACCCCAACAAAACAAAACAAAAAAAAAAAAAAGCAAAACAAAAAACAAAGUGCUGAAACAAGAAAACAAAAAGAAGCAGCACAAAAAAGUAAAAAAAAAAAAAAACAAAAAGAAACAAAAAUGAGUGGAGUUACGGUUACCAAUGUAAUGUUGAUUUCAAUUCUUACAAGUGAUAUGCUUUAAUUCUUUCCAUUGUUGUUUCGACACUUUUUAGCCGUUCAUUAUCCUUUUUUCUACCUAUACCCCGAGCCCCAUUACACCUGUUUAAAGACCCCCUGAUACUUGUCAUUAGGUCCCUUAAGUGAGGGAGAUAUGAUUGACAUGCAAGCCUAUGGGAUUGCCAUUUUUAUGAUUUAACUUGAGUGCAUACACUAACCCAUGGUGAGGUUUGUUGAGCUCAGCUUGGUUCACUCAUUAUUAUUAUCCAUUUAGCUGUGAUGCCGGGUGAAAGAUUGGAGUGCAUUGGUCAAGUACCACAAUGGAAAUGCAGUGCCUACUCAAAGAAAUGAACAAAAAGACGGAGAGAAAAAAAAAAUCAGAAAAAAAAGAACUGAAAAAAAGGAAGAAAAUAAAAAAGAGAAAAAAGAAAAAGAAAAGCAAAAAAAGAAAGUCAGUGCAGAUGUCGAACCUGUUGGUGGCUGUGAAAGAAAACAUGAAAACAAAGAAGCAAAGGAACUCAUUAGGUCAAAACAUCCUAUGUCGGCCUUCAUCUACUCACACGAGUGCCAAGCUGCAUUAAUUGUAGAAAAUAAGAACAUUGUGGAGGUUUUGAAGACCUUCGGUGAGGGUUGGACAUGCAAUACUUACCCAAAAAAAGUAAAAUAAAUAAAAGAACAAAAGAAAAAAAAAAAAUGAAACAAAAGAGAAAGCCAAUCCAAAUGCUCACUUCAUAGAGAUGUCGAACUUUUUUGGGGCAAAAUGGAAGACAAUUAAUGAAGUCGUGAAGGAAAACAAGAAAACUAAAUAGCAAGGAAAAGGACAUAUUAAAGCCAAAACAUCCUAUGUCAUGUCUCUAUCUACUUGAACAAACGGUGAACUACAUUGAUUGAAGAGAAUAAGAACAUUAUUGAGAUUGUGUCGGUGAAGAAAGGACAUGAAGAAUGUGCUUAAUAGUACGGUCUGGCUAUUCUUUUGAAGUUGAGAAGAGAUAUUCAUCCUCUUUUGGAUGCCAAAGCUGAAAAGAGAAGGACCCAUUACGGCCGAAACAUCCCAUGUUGGCCUUCAUCUACUCGAACAAGUGCCGAGCUACAUUGAUUUUAGAGAAUAAGAACAUUGUGGAGGUUUUGAAGACCGGCAGUGAGGGGUGGACAUGCAAUACUUACCCAAGGAAAGUAAAAUAAGUAAAAAAGAAGAAAAGAUAAACAGAAAAGAAAGCCAAUCCAAAUGCUCACUUCAAAGAGAUGUCGAACUUGUUGGGGGCAAAAUGGAAGACAAUUAGUGAAAUCGUGAAAGAAAACAAGAAAACUAAAAUAGGAUGGAAAAGGACAUAUUAAAGCCAAAACAUCCUAUGUCAGGACUCCAUCUACUCGAACAAGCGGUGAGCUACAUUGAUUGAAGAGAAUAAGAACAUUGUUGAGAUUGUGCCGUUGAAGAAAGGACAUGAAGAAUGUGCUUAAAAGUACGGUAUGGCUAUUUUUUUGAAGUUGAGAAAAGAUAUUUUAUCCUCUUUUGGAUGCCGAAGCUUUUUGGGCAAGGGAUGGUAUAUCCUUGGCUUAAUUACACCUCAUUAAUGUUUUCUUUAUAAUGCAGCACCACAAUGGACAUGCGGUGCCUACCCAAAAAAACGAAAAGAAAAAAAAAAGAAAAAAAAAAUUCUGAAUAAAAAAAAUAGUUAAAAAAAAGAAAUGAAAAGAAACAGAAAAAAGAAAAAGAAAAGAAAAAAGCAAAAAAAUUUGAAGAAACAGAAAGAGAAAAAAACAAAAGAAUAGAAAAAAAAGAAAUUUGUAAAAGAAAACAAGUGUCGAGCUACAUUGAUUUUAGAGAAUAAGAACUUUGUGGAGAAAGGAAAAAUACCCGUUAAAGCCGAAACGUCCUAUCUCAGCCUUCUUCUACUCAAACAAGUGGCGAGCUAUAUUGAUCGAAGAGAAUAAGAACAUUGUCGAGAUUGUGAAGAUGUGAGGGAUGGACAUGAAGAAUAUGCUUCAAAAGUAUGGUUUUGCUACUUUGUUGAAGUUGAGAAGAGAUAUUCAUCCUCUUUUGGAUGCCAAAGCUAAAAAGGUAAGUGUUUGGGCGGGAGAUGGUUUAUCGUUGGCCUUAUUUUGUGUUACAGUUUGCAAGUUUGUGCUUUUUUUGUUGUUGUUCUUACUGUAUUAUUUUGCAAAGAGAUCAAUAAAAAAGGUUGAGAAAAAGAAAAGAAAAAAAAAAGAAAAGAAAAGAGCUGGAAAAGUGGAAAAUUUUUUGAAAAAAAAGGGAAACAAAGAUGAAAAGAUUAAGGAAAAAAAAUGAAAAAUGAAAAAAAAAAAAGAAAGAGAAGAAAAAAAUUGAAAAAAAAGCCAAUCAGAUGUUGACCUUAAGGAGAUGUUGAACCUGCUGGUGGCAAAAUGGAAAACAAGUCGCGAAAGAGAACAAGAAAACAAAGUAGGAAGAAAAAGAACUCAUUAAGCAGGAACAUCCUAUAUCACACUGAUUUCAGAGAACAAGAAUAUUUUGGAGUUGAAAAAUAGGUUGUAAAGACAGCUGGUGAGGUUGGACAUGCAGGACUUACGCAAGGAAAAAAAAAACGAAAAAAGAAGAACUACAAAGAGAGAAGGGUCAAUGCUGAAAUGUUGCGCACUUAUGCUAUUGACCUGCUGACUGCAUGCUUGGAGAAUGGUGGUCAGUUAGUGGAAGAUGUGUUGACAUAAUGUGAUAUCUACGAGUACGGUUAACACAAACCAAAAGCUUCUAAGGUAUUGUUUGACAACAAAAGUGUGUCUAGCAUGGCUCUAAAGGCCAAAGAGGAUGGCAGGGGUAAGUCAAAGCAAGUGACAGAGAGUUUUCACAUGGAUACUGAGACUAUCAGAGCCCAUCCCACUGAGAGUGAACGUGAAAAAGAUCGCACAUCUAUGGACAACCUUGAUUGAGAUGAUGAGAGGUGUGGCAAUAGGCAAACAUAUGGGGAUAUGUACUGGGGUGAUGAGGAACAUCUUGAUAGUGUAGCUCCUGAGGUUGAUGCAUAUGAUGCUGAAGCAGAUAGUGACGAGAAGUGGGAUCUCUGCCAGUCAAAAGAAAAACCUGGUGGAAAAUCUCAUGGGGAAGAAGACUUUGAAGGAGUAUCGAUGGCGAUCAAGAGGUAGGUCCAAUGAAGGAGUUUCUGAGACAUUACUGAGUUGGUUAUGAAAGCAGUCGGAGCUGCUGAGCCGAAGCAAGAACAGACCAUGCACCUGCCUGUGCCAUUAAGGCUGCAGGUGCUGCUGCUGCUGAGGUCGUUAAGACAGCUGAUUAGAGUGCAGGAAUACAAGAAGACGAAUGACGAAGAAGCUAUUGUGGUUGCUGCAUCCAGAUCUUCAUCACACUGUUAUGGAUGCUGCCAGUGCAGUUGCUCUUGCAAGAAUUCAAAGCCAUGAAUUUGCUGAAUUUUCUAUUCCUGGUGGUCAUUCCCUUCUGAAGUUGAGAGAGAAAUUCUGUAUCCAGUGUCUGGUGUUUCUUGGGGAGUAUGUUGAAGUUCUUGGUUCUGUACUCCAUGAGAAGGAGUAAAUGUAUGCCUUGCACUACUGCAGCGAAGUCUUAAGCUCGAAGAAACACCCUACACUAAAUUCCUUAUGAAUGAACUUUGAAGCUAAUAUGUGCAUUGGCUGCUCACAGAAAGUUUUCUGCAUUGUUUGUUGAUUGCGGUGGCAUGGACAGACUCCCUGCGACUCCUAGAAAUGCCCAUACAUAUGUGGGUCUCUCUUCCUGCUUAUGAACUAUUGGUUCAAUUCAGGUGAUAAUGAAGUGUGUUUGUUCUCUUCCGCCAAAUAUUGUCCAUCAGAUUGUUAAGUUGGCUGGAACUGCGACAAUAAAUCAGGGCACAUCUCCUCUUGCUUGUGGAGUCUAUUCAACCUAACGAUGGUGAUGGCUAUGAUGAACCUGAGAUUGUUGAACCAGCAUUGAAUUUGUUAAUAAAUCUUGUGUGCCAUCCUUCAUCAAUAAGCAAUAAGCCAAGUCUCAUGCAAGGUCAGCAAUACGGAAAUCAAUCUGCUAUAAACUCCAGGGACAAAUUCAGAGAGGAAUUUCCCAGAGCGUGGUCUAAAUCAGAAUGAAUCAAGGGUUCGAACUGGGGAACUGACACCUAUGCCAUCAUCUGUUGGUAACACUUCAUCAUAACAGGAAUCUGCUUCAUUAGUUGCUUCUGGUUUAGUUGGAGAUCGCAGGAUUUCGUGCUUGGCUUGGUGCUCAGCUUGAACAAGGAUAUCGUCAAGCUAGAGAAGCUGUUCGUGUAAAGCAUGCUUCUUCAGCUUCUCCAACCUCGAAUGGUGACAUCCCCUGCAGCUCUUGAUUGUCUUCGUGCUCUUACAUGCCGAGUACUUUAGCAGCUAGUGAUGCGGCAACUCCCACUUUGAGACCAUUGAAAGAGGAGCAGCCAUUGCUGCUGCUACUCCAGUUUCUUAUCAUUCUAGGGCUUAUCCAUGAGCACCUUCAAUUAUCUGGAUUAGUUUAUCACCAAUGCCAUCCUUGGAUGCUCCAUCAUCUUUAGCACAACACGCAUCUGGGCAGGAGUUGUCAUCAAUACAAAUAGAAUGGCCAUCUGAAAUAGCAACUUGUGGAUUCUUGUUGGAUAGACCAAACUGGUGAACAUACACUCAGACCAUAUGGAUUCGAACUUGUUAUGCACACCAUCUGUUGAGAGUUUGCUAACCAGUCCGACCUAUUUAUCCUCAUGUCUGCCCUGAGCCAAGCAUUCAAUGUUUGCAUCACUGCCAUCAGAUUCAUCCCGGCGUUAAAUCCUUGUGUAUGAUGAUAUCCAGUCUUGUCAAUUGGAUCUGACACUGACUGAUACUUCUAAUAACCCGUCUGGACAUGAUCAUGGAUGUGAUCAUUCAUAUUGACUCAAUGCUGCUUUGGAAUGGAGUUUUGUGGGAUCGCAAGACCAAUUCAUCGAUUUUAUCAAUUUACUGCCUAUGAUGGUGGGGGCUACCAUUCUGCUGGGAAUGAGAUUGUUGAACCAGCGUUGAAUUUGUUAAUAAACCUUGUGUGCCCUCCUUCAUGAAUAAGCAAUAAGCCAAGUCUCAUGCAAGGUCAGCAAGCUUCUUCUACCCAAGCUGGAAUCAAUCUGCUAUAAACUCCAGGGACAGAAAUUCAGAGAGGAAUGUCCCAGAGGUGGUCCAAAUCAGAAUGAAUCAAGGGAUCAAACUGGGGAACUGACACCUAUGCCAUCAUCUGUUGGUAACACUUCAUCAUCACAGGCAUCUGCUUCAUUAGUUGCUUCUGGUUUAGUUGGAGAUCGCAGGAUUUCAUGCUUGGACAAGGAUAUCGUAAAGCUAGAGAAGCGUUCGUUCAAGGCAUGGUAUAAAGGUUCUUCAGCUUCUCCAAUCUCGAAUGGUGACAUCCCCUGCAGCUCUUGAUUGUCUUCGUGCUCUUACAUGCCGAGUGCUUUUAGGUUGAUGCUAUUGCACAUAUAUUGACCGAACUUCAGGUUUGGAAAAGUUAUCAAAGCUCAUCCGAGUGGGAGCCAAACCGCCAGUGGUGACCAAAAUAGAUGGCAGGCGGAAUUAACUCAAGUGAGCUUAUUGGGCUUAUCCAUGAGCACCUUCAAGCAUCUGGAUUAGCUGAGAGUGCAUCUUUGCUAAGUUAUCACCAUUGACUGCUCCAUCAUUUAGCACAACACACAUCUGGGCAAGAGUUGUCAUCAGUACAAAUGCAAUGGCCAUCUGAACGAGCAACUUUUCAGGAACACCAUCAGUGUCUACUGGGAAAUCAAGUGGCGAUCCAGACAAUCCGAGAAGAACUCCAAUAGUGUUGCCAAUGAAACGGAAAAACAGACAUGAAAGAAAAUGGGUUUGGAUCAUCGGUAAAACUGGUGAACAUACACUCACACCACCUGGUUUUUCAACACCGAAUUCUGCUUGUAGAAGUGGUCUGCAGGUGGAUUCGAACAUACAUUUAAGGCGAGGAAGACGAUGAUGAUAAUGGCAGUGAGGUUCUUGAAUCUUUCAGCAGUGACUAUCUUCUGUGAUCGAUCCUUCUUAAAGCUGCAAUCCUACAGCUGAAGAUGCUCACACUUUUACGAUAAACCUCAUGAGAAUUGGUUGAAUCAAGAACAACAUCGUGAGGGGCAAGGCUAAUAAACCAAACCCGAUGAGAAUUGGUAUGUAACUUUCUUUCAUUUUGUUGAGAUUAAAUUGAUGCCUGAUAUCAAAUUGAUGUGUUUUCACUCUGGUGAGGUUAAAUCAAGAACAAUCAUGAUAAGAAUUGGUUGAAUCAAAAACAUCAUCGUGAGUAGAGGGAAGUAUUAGAGGCCAAAUCCGACAAGAAUUGGUUGAAUCAAGAACAACAUUGUGAAGUUAAAUGGGCAAGGCAUACGGACCAAUCAUGAUAAGAAUUGGUUGAAUCAAGAACAACAUCAUGAGUAGAGGGAAAGAUUUUAGGCCAAAUCCGACAAGAAUUGGUUGAAUCAAGAACAAAAUUGUGAUGUCAAAAGGGCAAGGCAUACAGACCAAUCAUGAUAAGAAUUGGUUGAAUCAAGAACAACAUUUGUGAUGUUAAAGGGGCAAGGCAUACAGACCAAUCAUGAUAAGAAUCGGUACGUAACUUUGAUACUCAAUAGUAUUAUAAUUUUUUUAUUUUGUUAGGAUCAAACUGAUGUGUUUUCUCUCUAUUGAGGUUGAAUCAAGAACAACAUCGUGAGUAGAGGAAAGGAUUAGAGGCCAAAUCCGACAAUAAUUGGCCCCGAUUGCGAGUGAGAUGAAUCGAGAAAAACACCGAGAGGACUAGAUGGACGAGGUUACGGCGCGACUGCAGUUGAUUCAUGAAGUGUCCCCUGUUUUUUAUGUGCCAUUGUUGUCUUUAAUAAACCUUCACAAGGUUUAGGUUUGAGGUUUGGAUAUAAUAAUGAUUUAAAUUAAAAUAAUAUUUUAUAUGAUAUUUUAAAUGAUCCGAGAUCAGAAUUAGACCUGAUAGAAAAAUACAAGCUUUUUGGACAUCGCUUACCAAUGGAUUUUUGAAUACAUUGACCGGAGAUCGCUCUUGGCGAAUGAGCAAUUUUACUUCAAUAAAGUGAUAACAACAUUA